rnacentral:misc_RNA from 1 species
AACGCACACCAAGCAAAUUGAACGCACACCAAGUCUAAAUGGAUAAGAAUGCUAAGAUUUUUUUGCAAAAGAAAGAUAUUUUCUUUUAGGUUCCCAAUUGGCAGUACAAAGUCAGAAAUAUCAACAACAUAAAGGAAAGCAGGGAGAAGCAUCUUCCAUUGCCGUAACUCUCUUUAUCAUCAUUGGAAAAAAAGGGCUUAAUUAGGAGAAAAAAGAAAGAAAAAUGGAGUUCCAUGGGAGGCCACACAGGAGUGACAUUCAUUUAUCAGCAGAGGAAGAAGCAAAAAUUCAAGAGGAAACAAAAGAAUAUUUUGAUGGAUUGGCUGCAAAGCGUCACUCUAAGCCUCAACGCAGUGAGUUUUCUGCUCAAUAUGUGGAUGCUUUACCCUUCACCAAUUCUCUUCCAUCUUCCAUCCCUGAACUUGUUAAGUUUCAACGUCUCGAAAAUGAUCCUCAGAAGCUAGUUUGCAAUGGAAAUGGCCAAGUUGGGGAGGAUUUUGUGGAGACAGAGUACUACAAGGAUCUCAACUGCAUUGACAAGAAGCACCACACGACAGGAACAGGGUUCAUUAAAAUGGAGAAUAUCAAUGGAAAAUCCUUCAGCUUAGCACCAGAUCCGGUAUCCUGUUGCCAUGCUUCUUGCAGAGGAAACCCAGCAACUAAUGAAUGGAUUCCAGCAGCUGCCAAUACUGUCACUUUGGCUUCAGACAAGCCCAAAAGGAGUGACAAUUGAAAGGCAGGGUGACUGGGUGAUGUGUUGUCUUCAAGUUAAGACCUAGCUAGAUAUUGCAAAUGUUCUCUACCUUAUCUCUUAUGGUCACUCUGUGACAAAGAAUGUUUAUCAUUGUCGCCACUAAGGUAGUUCAUAUGCUAAAUAUAUACGGUUAUAAUUGCAGUGUACUUGGAUGCUUGUGGUGUUUGAAUGUUAAUUCUAGCUUCUGAAUAAG